UUAGACUUCGUUUCGGAGUCAAAUUAUUCUAUAGCUCGUGAUAAAAGAUCUUAUCCUCUCUUGGUCGUGCGGUGCGCGGGAUUUACCCGAGUGAAAGGCGCACUCACAUAAAAUCCGAGAUAUUGCGCAUAUGGUGUCAGAAAGUGGGGAGUGGCAAUUAUGUCAGAUUGCAUCAUACCGUGGGUACCAGAGGCUACACGCUUCAAUACAAAAGAGCCGUAAACCGGCGACAACGACUGAGUACCAAGGUAACCGAAACACCGAAUUCAUAAUUUGCCGAAUGCCGCAAUUAAGGAGUUUUCGUCUGUUUGAUUUAAGGGGAAUA